UACAGGGGGGGCAAGCGUUGUUCGGAAUUACUGGGCGUAAAGGGCUCGUAGGCGGCCAACUAAGUCCGACGUGAAAUCCCAAAGCUUAACUUUGGAACUGCGUCGGAUACUGGAUGGCUUGAAUCCGGGAGAGGGAUGCGGAAUUCCAGGUGUAGCGGUGAAAUGCGUAGAUAUCUGGAGGAACACCGGUGGCGAAGGCGGCAUCCUGGACCGGCAUUGACGCUGAGGCGCGAAAGCCAGGGGAGCAAACGGG
rnacentral:rRNA from 1 species